AUGCUUGGGAACUUGCCUUUGCGAGGGGGAUAACAGUUGGAAACGACUGCUAAUACCGCAUAAUGUCUACGGACCAAACGGGGCUUAGGCUCCGGCGCAAAGAGAGGCCCAAGUGAGAUUAGCUAGUUGGUAAGGUAAUGGCUUACCAAGGCAACGAUCUCUAGCUGUUCUGAGAGGAAGAUCAGCCACACUGGAACUGAGACACGGUCCAGACUCCUACGGGAGGCAGCAGUGGGGAAUAUUGCACAAUGGGGGAAACCCUGAUGCAGCCAUGCCGCGUGUGUGAAGAAGGCCUUAGGGUUGUAAAGCACUUUCAGUCGUGAGGAAAGGUUAGUAGGUAAUAUCUGCUAACUGUGACGUUAGCGACAGAAGAAGCACCGGCUAACUCCGUGCCAGCAGCCGCGGUAAUACGGAGGGUGCGAGCGUUAAUCGGAAUUACUGGGCGUAAAGCGUGCGUAGGCGGUUUCUUAAGCGAGAUGUGAAAUCCCGGGGCUUAACCUCGGAACUGCAUUUCGAACUGGGUGACUAGAGUUUUGUAGAGGGUGGUGGAAUUUCCAGUGUAGCGGUGAAAUGCGUAGAGAUUGGAAGGAACAUCAGUGGCGAAGGCGGCCACCUGGACAAAAACUGACGCUGAGGCACGAAAGCGUGGGGAGCAAACAGGAUUAGAUACCCUGGUAGUCCACGCCGUAAACGAUGUCAACUAGCCGUCUGUAUCCUAGAGAUGUGGGUGGCGUAGCUAACGCGCUAAGUUGACCGCCUGGGGAGUACGGCCGCAAGGUUAAAACUCAAAUGAAUUGACGGGGGCCCGCACAAGCGGUGGAGCAUGUGGUUUAAUUCGAUGCAACGCGAAGAACCUUACCAUCCCUUGACAUCCUGCGAAUUUUCUAGAGAUAGAUUAGUGCCUUCGGGAACGCAGUGACAGGUGCUGCAUGGCUGUCGUCAGCUCGUGUUGUGAAAUGUUGGGUUAAGUCCCGCAACGAGCGCAACCCUUAUCCUUAUUUGCCAG
rnacentral:rRNA from 1 species